GCUGCCAUCACGGAGUAUGAGGGAACCUCCAGGCCCGUGCUGGGCGCGACAUGGCGGCCACUCCUCCUCUGAGGGAGGAUUCCAGCACAGGCGGGAGGCCCCUCCAUCCGGGUCCUUCCAGCUCCGGGUUACUGGGCGGCGACGCAGCUCCAGGUGAGGCCGGUGGGGUCCUGGUCCGGGGAGUGCGCCCAGGCCGCUUGUCAUGUACAUUUCAGCGGGUUGGGGGUGAGUUCAGACUGGGGUCCGACAGACGGGGGUCGGUAGCACAUGGAUGGAGCGGCAGCACGUGGGGCUGACAGGGGGCAGGAUGUGAGACGGAUAAAUCUGGGAAAUGGAAGAAGAGUAAUAAAUAUAAAGAUGAAAUCUGCAGCGAGGGAUUUUUCUCGUCAAGGAACAGCCAUUCUAAUUGUGGAGGCUUCAGUUUUUUUUCUAUAGUGGCAAGUUUAUAAUCACAGAGGUGCCAGAGAAGAAUACAAAUAGACCUGUAGGAAGAGGUAGUAGGUUGCAUAGUUUUAGGGCAGGCAUUUUGCCCAGCAGGAGGUAACUAUACAACCCGCUGCCUUUCCUAGGGUUUUGUACUUGCAACAGCAGUUGGUUUUACUGACAAUGCUUAUUCUAGGGAUGGAACAGGUUCUUAAAUCUGCUUGAAAAGAGAAAUAAUGGGAAUUCUGACACAGUCUGUAUUUUUUAUCGUUGUUUCACACUCUUUAUAUUAAAUAAAAUAGUUUCAUUGAA